CGGCACCGCCUUCCUAACGGCUGUUUGUUUUUGCACACGGCACGCGGAGGCGGGGCCUCCAGCCCCAAUAGUGACGCGCUCUCUGCCUUUCACCAGGCGCCCAAGCCUGACGAACAGAAAGGCAAACCAAUGAGAUUGGACGCCUCGCAGACGAAAGCCAAUAAAAAUAUCGCCCGCGAGCAAGGGAGGCGGGCCACUGGGAAGGACAGCAAAAUUAGCUAAUAAGGUGAAGCGAUUGCAGGCGCUGUGGCUUUCCCGCCCAUUCGCGGCGUUGGUUUUCCCGCUUCUGAGACUUGUUUGGGGAGGUAAAGAGUGUUGGACGUGCUUCUCCUGGUUAAAAUUUGGAGGAUAACUCCCAGCUAGAAAGGAAGAAAAGCUCUAAAGUGGAAUCGCCUUCCCCCGGAAGCUGUUGUAAAAAUUAAAGGAUGUAUGUGAGUGCACAGGCUCUCCAGCGAUCGUUUUUCUUCCACAGUGUUAACACAAUUUAUUUAUUUAUUUACUUUUUGAGAUGAAGUCUCACUCUGUUGCCCAGGCUGGAUGGAGUGCAGUGGUGUGAUCUGGGCUCACUGCAACCUCCGCCUCCUGAGUUCAAGCGAUUCUCCUGCCUCAGCCUCCUGGGUAGCUGGGACUAAAGGCUCCCACCACCAUUCCCCGCUAGUUUUUGUAUUUUUAGUAGAAAUAGGGUUUCACCAUGUUGGCCAGGCUGGUCUUGAACUCCUGACCUCAAGUGAUCCUCUCGCCUCAGCCUCCUAAAGUGCUGGGAUUACAGGCGUGAGCCACCGCGCCUGGCCUGUUUCCACAAUUAAAAAAGGCCCAUCACCCUAUCAUGAUCAUCUCUAUUACAGUCUGGACAAUAUGAGCUUUCUGGGAGAGCCAGCUUCAUUUCAUAACUGAAGAAAUGGGCUUAGGUGAACUUAGUCAUUUGCCUGAGACCGCAUAGCCUGUAGAUAACCAAGAUACCAGCUCACAUUUGUUCCAACUCAUUCCAGCUUUAAAUUCUUUCAUUCUUUUCACAGUAUGAUGCAUUGACUGUGCUAGAAUGUGUUCUUGGUGUUGGUGAGUUAAUAGUGAAAAAAACAAGUUUCUGCCUUAGUGGAGAUUCUGUUGUCAUAGGAUUUUCCCAGGCUGGCACUUUAGAAAUUUAUAUCCAGGCUGAUGAUAGCUGUUCCAAAGUUUGAAUCAGGAGAAGCAACUUUGGGGAAGUGAGUCUUUAAAAAAAGGUAACUUAAAUUCAAGAAGAGGAAGAGGGUGAGCUUCUAAGUAAGAAUUUGGAAAAAUACGGAUGAAGGUACAGACAAGUGUGAGGAAG
rnacentral:lncRNA from 1 species